ensembl:lncRNA
AAUUACACGAUGACAAAAUUUUUCUGCUAUUGCUGAUAUUCCUUUUUUUCCUUAACCCCAGAAAAUCUAACCCAGCAAAACUUAUUUAUUUAUUUAUUUAUUUAUUUUUGUUGGGAGCAACAUCUUUGCGAGGCACCGCUGUCUGUGUAGCUAUAGCAGCAAUUUAUUCGGUGCGUGACCCAGUGACGACAUGGGGGAAUUUUGCCUGAUGCAAUGGAGAAUGUGAGAUGUUGACAACUUUCCCAACAGCGGCUCAUCAGCGGAGACCUGCAUGGUGCCUGGACAUGGAUAUGAGGAAGCUUUAACAUCGGCAGUAAGAUGAGACACAGUAAAGGGAAUCCUCAACAUGUCUUUCUUUCCCUCUGUCCUUGUUAUCAACCAUAGGAUAAGUGCAAGCACUGAUGUUUGACAGCAGCUGGGAAUAGUUUCUCUCAUACGGACUUUUGCUUGUCUGACAGGAAAUAGGUGAGCACCUGACUUCUAACAGAAAGGAGUUAGUUUACCCAGCAAUUAUGUGUCUCCUAACUACUGCUUGGUAUUUAAAGAGAUGAUUUGGUGUUGAGGAAAACAGAUAUGCUUCAGAUAUGGGGCGGAUGAGGCCUCAGAUGCGUGGGUACAAUGCUGUGGGACCCAAGCCUGCUGCAGAACCUAUAAGAGCUGAAAAAAAAGCCAUACUUAGGACUGGGAGCUCACAAAUAGCCUGUCCAGGUAAGGCCUGCUCUAAACGGUGCUGUUUUUCAAGUAUUUGCAUAUGUCCAGAGUGCAUUUCAAUGAGAAUGAGACCAAAAUUCUGGAGAUGCUUUUGCACCACUAAUCCAGAGGGCAGGGAUUUUGUGUCUGCGCGGGGUGGCAUUUUUUCUUCCAAGCAGUGGGACUUCCUCCUAUUGCUGAUCCAAACAUGCCACCUACUGUUUGUUGGAAGGGAGACAUGGUGUAGCCAGUAAAACUGGUGCAAACGUUAACCAGACUAGAUGCAAUGCACCUGGAAAACACUCUCCAGCAGCCAGCUGGAGAACCUGGCCAUCACAGGUUCACCUGCUCUCCACCAUCACAGAAGAAUCAUCCUGCAACCUGGUGCUUCGGACGUGCACAUGUCAGGAAGCAGCAAUGCCAAAGCCUGGACAGCAGGAGGAAGCAAACAUAGAGUGGGGCAGGAAAAACUGGUGUUAAAAUGAUACUGGCUUUGCAAGGCAACACUCAUCGGCUACUUCAUAGCAAUAACACAGGGGGUCUCUGAGGGGAAGCCGUGUCUCUGUAGGAGGGAAACUUAAGGAAUGAACCACAGAAUAGUUGGGGUUGGCAGGGCCCUGUGGGUCCAUGUGGCACAACCCCUGCUCCAACAGGGACAGCCAGCACAGGGAGCCCAGCAUUUUCCUUGUUGGACUUCAUGCCAUCGCUGUCACCCAGAUCCUCGUGUUUCUAUCUGGACCCCCCCCUAGGCUUCUCCUAGUGUUGUGGAUGCCACUGACAGCACUGCAGCACGGGGAAAGAUCUGCUCCUGCUUCCCUGCUGCCUCUCCUCGCAGGCCUCGGCCCUGGCCUGCUGCUGAGGGAGGGAGGCCAUGUUGGGCCUGCAUGCUGGGGUGCCAGGUGCCUCAGGACCGUCUCGCUUGUAGGGGACCCAGCUGGCUGUGGCGAUGCAACUGCGGUGCCCUUCUGUGGCAAAGAUAGAGAACUGCAGCCCUCUUUCAGGCUCCUUUGUGCAAACCAAGCAGGUUUGCCCUGGGCAGGAGAGCUACAAGCUGAGAUCCUUGUAAGGGCUGAGAGGUGGCAGAUGCCCACAGAGAGGGGAGGAAAGAAGGGGUUAAAGCACAGAGGGAGGGACGAGGCUACAGCUAGCAGAUGUCUGGGGCUGAAAAGUAGGUCACCUAUUUCUGCCGGGGGGGUGGGAUUUGAAAAUCGACAUGGAUGUGCAAACAAAGCCAAGCAGCGCAUCAAGGAGUAGAACUGAAGGCUCGAGCCUGGCAGAGAUCCUCUGAGGACACCAUGCUGCUAUAGCACAUCGGGAACAGCUAUUAAUUAAGAUUAUCUUUUCAAAAAUUACUUUAUCUUCAUGAGCACAUAUAACUCUUGUUGACGUCUUUGCCACGGAGUGCACGGAGGACUGUCACUCCU